rnacentral:rRNA from 1 species
GGACCUGACUGCUAUCGGAUUGAUACUAAGCCAUGCGAGUCAUUGUAGCAAUACAAGGCAUACGGCUCAGUAACGCGUAGUCAACCUAACCUAUGGACGGGAAUAAUCUCGGGAAACUGAGAAUAAUGCCCGAUAGAACAUUAUGCCUGGAAUGGUUUAUGUUCCAAAUGAUUUAUCGCCGUAGGAUGGGACUGCGGCCUAUCAGUUUGUUGGUGAGGUAAUGGCCCACCAAGACUAUUACAGGUACGGGCUCUGAGAGGAGUAGCCCGGAGAUGGGUACUGAGACACGGACCCAGGCCCUAUGGGGCGCAGCAGGCGAGAAAACUUUGCAAUGUGCGAAAGCACGACAAGGUUAAUCCGAGUGGUUUCUGCUAAAGAAACCUUUUGUCAGUCCUAGAAACACUGAUGAAUAAGGGGUGGGCAAGUUCUGGUGU